GAUGAACGCUAGCGGCAGGCCUAACACAUGCAAGUCGAGGGGUAACAUAGGAAAGCUUGCUUUUCUGAUGACGACCGGCGCACGGGUGCGUAACGCGUAUACAACCUACUUUUUAGCGGGGAAUAGCCCAGGGAAACUUGGAUUAAUGCCCCAUAGUAUAUAGACUUCUCCUGAAGUUUAUAUUAAACAUUUAUGGCUAUUAGAUGGGUAUGCGUCCUAUUAGUUAGUUGGUAAGGUAACGGCUUACCAAGGCAGCGAUAGGUAGGGGUCCUGAGAGGGAGAUCCCCACACUGGUACUGAGACACGGACCAGACUCCUACGGGAGGCAGCAGUGAGGAAUAUUGGACAAUGGGCGAGAGCCUGAUCCAGCCAUGCCGCGUGCAGGAAGACUGCCCUAUGGGUUGUAAACUGCUUUUACAGAGGAAGAACCACCCCCACGUGUGGGGGUUUGACGGUACUCUGCGAAUAAGGAUCGGCUAACUCCGUG
rnacentral:rRNA from 1 species